rnacentral:rRNA from 1 species
AUUGAACGCUGGCGGCAUGCCUUACACAUGCAAGUCGAACGGCAGCACGGAGCUUGCUCUGGUGGCGAGUGGCGAACGGGUGAGUAAUAUAUCGGAACGUACCCAAGAGUGGGGGAUAACGUAGCGAAAGUUACGCUAAUACCGCAUACGAUCUAAGGAUGAAAGCAGGGGACCGCAAGGCCUUGUGCUCCUGGAGCGGCCGAUAUCUGAUUAGCUAGUUGGUGGGGUAAAGGCCCACCAAGGCAUCGAUCAGUAGCUGGUCUGAGAGGACGAUCAGCCACACUGGAACUGAGACACGGUCCAGACUCCUACGGGAGGCAGCAGUGGGGAAUUUUGGACAAUGGGGGCAACCCUGAUCCAGCAAUGCCGCGUGAGUGAAGAAGGCCUUCGGGUUGUAAAGCUCUUUUGUCAGGGAAGAAAAGGUUCGGGCUAAUAUCCUGGGCUCAUGACGGUACCUGAAGAAUAAGCACCGGCUAACUACGUGCCAGCCGCCGCGGUAAGAC